rnacentral:rRNA from 1 species
UCAAAGCAGGCAGAUCCAAUUUUCUGCCACCGAAUACAUUAGCAUGGGAUAAUGGAAUAGGACCCUGUCCUCCUAUUUUCAGUUGGUUUUGGCAGCGAGAGGAGUAGGGUAAUGAUUAAUAGGGAUAGUGGGGGGCAUUAAUAUUUAAUUGUCAGAGGUGAAAUUCUUGGAUUUAUGAAAGAUUAAAAGUUGAAAGCAUCUGCCAAGGAUGUUUUCAUUAAUCAAGAAGGAAAGUUAGGGGAUUGAAGACGAUCAGAUACCGUAGUAGUCAUAACCAUAAACGAUGCCGACCAGGGAGUAGGAGACGUUGAAUACAAAACACCACCUUCGGCUGGGUCAUAUGGUCCUUCUGGCCCAGAU